AAAUAAUUUAAUUUUAGUUAAUUAGUUAAUUGAAUUAAUUGAUCUAUAAAUUUAGUUUUUAAAAUUAUUGUUAUUUAAAUAAUAAUAAUUUUUGUGUAGAGAUUUAAUUUAAAAAUAAAUGAAAGUUUGAUUUAGUAAUUAAAUUUAGUAAAGGUAAUUUUAGUGCCAGCAACAGCGGUUAAACUUAAUUUGUAAAUUAAUUUUUUUAAUUUUUGAAUUAAUGUAUAUUAUUUUGUUAAAAUUAAUUAAAUUUAUUAAAAGAUUGGUGAAAUAUCUUUUUUAUAAUAUAUUAAUUUUUGUUUUACUAAUAUUUGUUAAAUUUUUGUAAAAACUAGGAUUAGAUACCCUACUAUAAAAAUGAUUUAGAUUGAAUUAAUAAUUAAAUGUAAAUCAUUAAAAUUAAUAAAUAUGGCGGCUUUAUAAUUUAUUUAGAGGAAUUUGUGUAUUAAUUGAUGAUCCACAAUAGGACUAACUAUAAUUUAUCUUUGUAUAUUGCUGUUUGAAGAGUUUAUUUAUAUAUUAUUCUUAUAAUAUUUAUUUGAAUAUUAAUUCAAGUCAAAAUGCAGGAUAUUAUUGAUUAUAUGAAUUACAAUAAAUUGGAUUUUUGGAUAAAUUAUUUUAAUAUAGUUUUGAAAUUGGAUUUAAAAGUAAAUUUAUUGAAUUAAAUUUAUUGAAGAUAAUUUUAUUUAGUGUACAAAUUGCCCGUCAUUCUCAUUAUAAAUGAGGAAAGUCGUAACAUAGUAAAUGUACUGGAAAGUGUAUUUUGUUAAAA
rnacentral:ncRNA from 1 species